rnacentral:rRNA from 1 species
UACGUAGGGGGCAAGCGUUGUCCGGAAUUAUUGGGCGUAAAGCGCGUGUAGGCGGCUUUGCAAGUCGGAUGUGAAAGCCCACGGCUCAACCGUGGAAGUGCAUCCGAAACUGCAUGGCUGGAGUCCCGGAGAGGAAGGUGGAAUGCUUGGUGUAGAGGUGAAAUUCGUAGAUAUCAAGCAGAACACCUGCGGCGAAGGCGGCCUUCUGGACGGUGACUGACGCUGAGACGCGAAAGCGUGGGGAGCAAACAGG